rnacentral:tRNA from 1 species
CAUGCUAUAGCUCACUGGUAGAGCACUUGACUAAGAAUCAAGCGGUAAUUGGUUCGACUCCAAUUAGCAACU